GACGAACGCUGGCGGCGUGCUUAACACAUGCAAGUCGAACGGUGAUACCCCAGCUUGCUGGAGUGGAUCAGUGGCGAACGGGUGAGUAACACGUGAGCAACCUGCCCCAGACUCUGGAAUAAGCGCUGGAAACGGCGUCUAAUACUGGAUACGAAACUGGCCCGCAUGGGCAUGGUUUGGAAAGUUUUUCGGUUUGGGAUGGGCUCGCGGCCUAUCAGCUUGUUGGUGAGGUAAUGGCUCACCAAGGCGACGACGGGUAGCCGGCCUGAGAGGGCGACCGGCCACACUGGGACUGAGACACGGCCCAGACUCCUACGGGAGGCAGCAGUGGGGAAUAUUGCACAAUGGGCGAAAGCCUGAUGCAGCGACGCCGCGUGAGGGAUGACGGCCUUCGGGUUGUAAACCUCUUUCAGCAGGGAAGAAGCGAAAGUGACGGUACCUGCAGAAGAAGCACCGGCUAACUACGUG
rnacentral:rRNA from 1 species